rnacentral:rRNA from 1 species
GAUGAACGCUGGCGGCGUGCCUAAUACAUGCAAGUCGAGCGAACAGACGAGGAGCUUGCUCCUCUGACGUUAGCGGCGGACGGGUGAGUAACACGUGGAUAACCUACCUAUAAGACUGGGAUAACUUCGGGAAACCGGAGCUAAUACCGGAUAAUAUAUUGAACCGCAUGGUUCAAUAGUGAAAGACGGUUUUGCUGUCACUUAUAGAUGGAUCCGCGCCGCAUUAGCUAGUUGGUAAGGUAACGGCUUACUAAGGCGACGAUGCGUAGCCGACCUGAGAGGGUGAUCGGCCACACUGGAACUGAGACACGGUCCAGACUCCUACGGGAGGCAGCAGUAGGGAAUCUUCCGCAAUGGGCGAAAGCUUGACGGAGCAACGCCGCGUGAGUGAUGAAGGUCUUCGGAUCGUAAAACUCUGUUAUUAGGGAAGAACAAAUGUGUAAGUAACUAUGCACGUCUUGACGGUACCUAAUCAGAAAGCCACGGCUAACUACGUG